UGGGGAAUUUUGCACAAUGGAGGAAACUCUGAUGCAGCGACGCCGCGUGAGUGAUGAAGAUCUUCGGAUUGUAAAACUCUGUCCUUAGUGAAGAUAAUGACAGUAACUAAGAAGAAGCCCUGGCUAAAUACGUGCCAGCAGCCGCGGUAAUACGUAUGGGGCAAGCGUUGUCCGGAAUUAUUGGGCGUAAAGGGUACGUAGGCGGUUUAAUAAGUCCUAAUUAAAAGGCUAUGGCUCAACCAUAGUAUGGUUAGGAAACUGUUGAACUUGAGUAGAUGAGGGGAAAGUGGAAUUCCAUGUGUAGCGGUGAAAUGCGUAGAUAUAUGGAGGAACACCAAUGGCGAAGGCAACUUUCUGGAAUCAAACUGACGCUGAGGUACGAAGGCGUGGGGAGCAAACAGG
rnacentral:rRNA from 1 species